AGGGCUUUGCUUUACUGGACUAAG
rnacentral:siRNA from 1 species